rnacentral:rRNA from 1 species
GAUUUCUGACGAACCGACGUGGCCCGCUUCCGUUUCGGAGGUGAGUGCUGUGCCGAGUUUGUCAUCCUUCCAGAGAGCUGCGCCUACCGUUUAUUCGGCCGGGCGUACGUAAUCUGGAUCGAUUACUUUGAAAAAAUUAGAGUGUUUAAAGCAGGCUUACGCUGUGAAUACAUUAGCAUGGAAUAAUAAUUUAGGACUUUGGUCUCUAUUUUGUUGGUUUCUAGAGCUGAAAUAAUGAUUGAUAGGGAUAGUUGGGGGUGCUAGUAUUCAUCGGCCAGAGGUGAAAUUCUUGGAUUCGAUGAAGACUAACUUAUGCGAAAGCAUU